AAAGACCAAGCCAUCCUCAAGCCAGACCUUGCCCUUGGAGUAGCCUCUGAAACAUGCCCUUGAAUGUUACAGAAGGACAUAUGUUUUUCCAUUUGAUUUCAAAUGAUUUUGACAAAUUUUAAAAUUCUCACAUCUUCACCAAAAACUUACAGGCCAAAUAUGCUCUGGGUUAGAUGUUGCUUUUCUUUGUAUUGUUAAGAAAACUGAAGCUUUUUUUAUACCAAUCAGAUGCAAAUUCUGUCAACUCACUUAGAAUAUUUUGAGCAUAUUUAUUUAUAUGUAGAAACUACCAGGAUUUUCAAAUGUUUUAUGGCCAGUCUGUCUUUGUUUGUAUUUAAGAUACGAAAACCAUACUAUUUAAACUUCCUCCAGUUUUCUAUAUUGGUGCCAGACAGGGCAAGGAUUGACACUGGUAGGACUUCCUUUGUAAAGUUAUUCAGUUCUGGCCGGUUCCAUUGUGUUAUCUUAAUGAAUAUGUCAUUCUGCUUGUGAAUACAGCUGGUAUGUUGGAGAUUUUUCACUGAAUUACACGAAGUAUCUGGCUGAUGUGAGUAUGGAAAAACAAUAAGCACAUCUGCCUGCAUUAUAGUAAAUUAUUCACUGUAGAUCUAAUUGAGCUAACUAUGUCUGCUAGGAUGGAGAACAAUGUUACAAUCCUGUAAAUGCAGUCUGAAAAAUCUAGCCUGGAUUAAAUAUUUGGGCAAAUAACACGGACACCACUGCUUUGAUUCAGUGCAGCCUACCUUGGGAAGAAGAACCUGGUUUUUAAUCAGACCACUAUCACAUCUUUGGCAAACCCUGCCCUAUGCCCCUGAAGUAAGUACCUGAUUUGGGAAUGUCAUAGAUUGAAUACCUGGAUCUGAAUAUGCUUUAACUUUGUUGGUUUUGGCUAACUUACAACCAUGUAAUAGGUCCUGUCUGAAAAUUUGUAGGUUCAGACCAAUAACCUGAGUGCAAAAGGCCUAUUACUAAUGUAUUGAUUCGUUAUUUGACAAAGUAGAAGUUUUGAGAUGCUGCCUACUUGAAUAUAAACCAGAAAGGCCAAUAAUGUUACAAAUGAGACAUUUCUUUUGAGGCGAUCAAUCUGUUCGCAUUCUUGCUGCCCUAAGAUCCUGCCUGUGCAGGGACCAAAAGAAACUUUGUGGGGUGUUCAGUGCACUCUCAUCUCCUAGAAUCUGCAGCUGGGAUCUGCUUCAAUAAAAAACAUGCAUUUAUUGACAGAUAGUCUGACAGCUUUUCAAAGCUGCUUGGCAGCUUGUUUUUAGCAACAUGUUGCCAUGUUCAGUAUUAUCACAUCUUUUAGAUUUGUGUGAUACUAAAAGGCCAAACCUUUCAGGUAUCCGUAUGGGGUGCAAAGCAGGACUAGCACUAAGACACCCAGGAAAAUACACCUUAGGGGUUCAUUGAUUUUUCUUCUAAAAAUGUAUGACUACUAACCUUCCAGCCCUGUCAGGGACAAGCAUCCUAACUACUGUUUUCCAAGCAGUUGCUUUAGGUUGGAUUUUUUUUUCCUUUUACCUUAAGCUUGCAGGUGUCUAAGGCAACUAAGCUGAACAGCAUUCACAAAACUCUUCAAACAUCUGUGAAAUGCUAUUCAGACCAUUUUCCAGGGAACUUAAGAAAGAGUAAGAAACCUUUGCUGGAGUGUGAUAUGUUAGUCAAACUAUCUCUUGUUUAAGAAUACAACAGAUUGUAGUCAGUGGGGAGUCAUUGCGGUGCUUAAGUUCAGCACCUGCAGUAGGCUAUAGAUGCAGUUCUUCUCUGUUGACAGGGAGGGAUUCAGAGCCUGUCAGUAACCCAAACUGAGACACUAUAAGAGACAGCAAAAUAUUUUGUGGUGUUUAAAUGGGUGAGUAGAAUUAGUUUUGUUUGAUUCUUGCUGUUUUUACAUCAGGGUCAAGCGAUUUGCUAUAUAGUGAGGACUAAUACCUAAUACUAAUCAAUAGGUUCUUACUAAUUCUUCUGUAAAUUAAAUGUGCUACUUUUGAGAGAGAGAUUUGCAAGCCUUUACAGGUUGUCUUCGAUGGAGUAUGACCGAAAUACUAUGGUGUUCAUCCUGCAAAACUGAGCUCUUGAUAAUGCCUGUAAAAUAUUGAAUAAAACUGUUAAGGUGGUGCAGAUUUUAACAUUGGCAGUAGCAGAGAGGCUAUAUUCCACAUGGGCUUUCAGGAGUUGUACCCUUUAAUAAACUCAGCUUUACACAGCCAAGACAGUACAAAACAAAUGUGGUCCAGUUCAAAAUGUAAAAAAAAAAAAAGAAACACCCUGUCUGUACUCCUAGCUUAUGUGCCUGUCCUUCAGAGUUAUAUCAGCAGAAAUAACUGCUCCCACUACAUGUUGUGUCCAGAAGAGGAGAAACAACUGGAAGGUCCCAGCAGCAGCUGGCAAGUAACAAUGACUGAAUUCCAGAUGGAUCUAAAAAACUAGUGAUACCUCCUGGGAAACUUUGAAAAACAUCUUACUUUGCAAUGAUCCUGUUCACAUCACACUCGUUUUAAAUAUUUCUUUUCCUUUGUUCUUGGCAAGAAGGAACAGAUGAGCUCCUGAGAAAAAAUUCCAUUUUGAGAGACCAGCCCCUGUUAAUAAAGGCAGAGAGAAAAAAUAGGACAGGGAGAAUUGCCACUCCGUUGUGAUUUCAGACAUCAGCUGUUCAUUUGUGCAGUUUCUGUAGCUAGAUAUUUUUAAAGAAUUUUACUAGAGCCAUAGGAUAAGAUACAUUAGAAACAACCUUUACAGUAGCUCGUUUAGUCCAGUCCCCUCAUCAGAGCAAAGCCAAAUUAGAUCAGGUAACUAAGGUCCUUAGCCAGUCAGGUUUGGUUGUCUCCAAGGGUGAGUUUUCUCAACCUGCUGUGUUCAAUCAAGCUGAUACAGCCCCCCAUGCAGGUCACUGAAAUAAUGUGCUCAUAUGGACUCACAGUCAACUAGCAAGGACCAGCUUCCAUAAGGGAAGACAAGCCAGGAGUUAAGGGUGACCCCGGGAUAGACAGUAUCCCCACUGACAGGGUGUAAUUCUGAGCAUGCCAGGUAAUGGUCUGUGCUGGAAAUGGGAUCUGUGAACAGCCGCAGACACAGUGAGAGAAUGAACCAGGUCCAUGGCCCCUCCAGGGAGCCCAGCCAGGAACCAAAUGGGACAAGGCAAGAGAAAGAGUGGAAGAGAAGGUUACAAUACAGGCCAAACAUCCAUCCAGGAAGCAGAAUCAGAGGCAGGACUGGAGACCAGCAUACCUACAACUUAGCCCAAGCAGGGACCGAACCACAAGCCUGAGUUUAUACGGGGUUGCUAGGUCUAUUGGCAAACAGGAUGCAGGUCCCAGGUGAGGCUGGUCUGGACCAAUAAGACCUGUCAGUGGCCUCAGGACCCUCACAUCGAGAUCUUUCUGAAAAGAAGCCCAGCCACCACUGUAUUGUUUUCUUUCCUAAUCUCUGAAAAGCAGAACUCCCAUCUGUCUGGAAACAAAUUUGGCCCUGUCAGUGCAAACACCAUCUUUACUCAAUAGUGUUCUGCAACCUGAGACUCAGCAAUGACCUGGAAGGUUCUUGGUGAAGGGUAGGAAGGACAGGUCAUACCCUAUUCAUGUAUGCUCUCAGGCUUCUCUUUCACAGCCAGACUCUUUUCCUACUAGAUGGAUAAAAUGGUCCUUACAUGUUCAAAAUGCUUUCAUUAAGAAAGAUAACAAUUAUAUGCCAUGCCUCAGUUGCCUGAAGGGCUCAAGGGGGGGUGGUUUUUUGUUUUGUUUUGGUUUUCUCCUGAGUACACUAUUAAACAGAUACUUUUGGGGUUGGCUGGUUUCUUUUUCUCAGUCUUCCUGAGGCAUCAAUGAUCAUGUUGCUCAGUGCUCAAAGGUGACACAGACAAUUUGUGUUCUUUCACAGUCAGAGCACUGACUGGAUUCAGGAAGAAUUUUCCACUUAGGUCUGAGUUGCAAAGAUGGGUGUAGUAGAUUGUCUUUCACUACUAGGGUGCAAUUAAGGUACAAUUUAUCUUCAAAUGUGAAGUGGGAAAAGCACAUAAAUCAAUUUCUGUGCUUUGCAGCCUUAGGUUUUGGUCACAACUUGGUUUAUCUUUUUCUCUGCCAAUGACACACAACUGAUAAACCCUGAAAUUUAAAUGCUUUGACUAACUCAAAUCCGGGGUAUGGUAUUGGGUGACAGUGAGUGCCCAAUGAUAGACAGAAGGUCAAAAUUUAGUAGGAUCCCUUGUGGUUAUAUACUUUAUGCAAUGAAAGUCAUUAACUCAUUUUGCAAUAUUGAAAGAUGAUGGCCUCUGGCAUAUUAAUCCUUCAAAUAACUCUGACUUUUAGCCCCUUUGGCUAUAAAGCCUUAUACUUUUUCUCCAAUACCAUAGAAUUGGAAAAUGUACUUAGCCUGGAAGUUUCUAGAUUAAAUGUGAAGGAGAAAAAGACUCUACAUGUAGUAUUGUUCAUGCUGUAAUAUCAUAGCUCUGGAAAUACUCCUGCCAAGUUUGAAUAAAAUUUGUUAAAGUUUUACUUAAAUUAAUUUGAUUUGAGGAAGAUCAUGAGAUACAAUUACAGAAGGCAUGAAGGUUUAUUAAUGCAAAGCCAGUCUGCUAAUUAAAAGCCAUUUUGGGGGGUACCUAGUUUUAAAAACAACUUGUUAAAUGGCCCUCCAUAGUUCCCAUGCUGUUUAUAUCUCAGAAAUUAGUUUUCCAGCCACAAAAAUGGAUAAAGACAAUAUAUUUAAUAAUUAGACAGUUAAACUUGGCUGAGAGGUUAUGACUGUGUCAUACUGAAAAACAGGUCUCUUUAAAUCACAUGCAGACAGCAGCUGUAAACCAACAUUUAAUUAUUCCAAAGGAGGACUGAUAACAACUGUCUUACAUUAAGAAAUAUACUUGACAGUUUUGUGGUAGAAAGCAUUAACAUCAGAUUUUUUUUGUCAAUUAGAAAAGGUUGUUGUUACUCAUCUAGUUUGGAUAGCAUCAAAUAUCUCUGUGCUUAAACAACUUUCCUCUUUUAGAAAAACCUUCAUCUACAUUUGCCUGAGAUAGAAUAUCCAUCAAAAUUCUUGCUGCAAAGGUUAAUUCCUCUCACUCUUGAAAUACCUCAGUCUUUUGCUCAGCUUGAAUUUGUCCAGCUUAAAUUGUAUUUUGUAUUGCCUGUAUUAAAAAUGAUUUUGUGAAGAUUCAGCAACAGUGCUGCAUGACAGACAAUCAUGCCCAGCACAUGUCAAGGCCUGUCAUAAUUAUGUCAUGUUAUACUAUAAUACAAUAGUAAUUCUAUCUUGUUGUAUCAUUUCUGAAAUGAUUAACUGCAGCUAUGACUGAACUAUUCUAUUUUUUUUUGUAAACAUGUGUCUCCUGUUUGAGCUAUAAAGAAACAACCUGACACUUUGACAUCUUAAAUAGUAAUAGAAAGCAUGUAUUCACCACAAUAAUUGGAGAAAAAGAUGAUCUCGAUAUUCAGAGAAAUGAAACUAGAUAUUUAAAGUAGCAGCUUCUCUGUUAACUGUUGAUAUAAUUUGGGACUUCCAGUGAAGUAAACAGUACACUGAAGUUACAGCACUCCUGAGAAGAUGGUCUCACAGUUUUGAUGAUUGUUGUUUGGAAAGGCUUUGAGUUGUGUUUAAAUUUUGGGAGCCACAGUGAAAGAAGAGUAUUUAUUUUGAGUCAGGGAAAGAGCUGCUGAGCUCUGAUGAAAUAUGCAUUACAGUAUAUACUUGAUAUUCACUUGUAUUUUUUGCUAUUGUUGCUGUCAGUUUUUCCUGGAGCAAGGACACAUAUAACAGCACCACAAAACAAUAGACUGCUUCAGCAGUCAGAGUGCAGAUGCCUUUGAAGAAGUCUACAGGUAAGGUCUAGGUAAUUUCACAAGAUCACCUCUGUUUCCCUCUGUUACAUCAAGUGUGAAGAUGUACAGAUCACUACUGGUAGCAUGCCAGUGCCCCAUGACCUGGCCUAGAGUCUCCUGUAGGUGAAGAAAGGCAGAGAAUAAACAAUUGAUGAUUUUUGGAUUCUGCAUCUGCUGGUCCAUGCGAACAAGACAGCUAUCCGUAAGUUUUUCUCCAACAUCUAUUUUGAGAAGAAGAGUAAGAGCUAACAGACAUUUCUAACGUAUAUAUCACUCCUUGGUUGAUGAAGUUCCACCAACAGAUAGGCAAUACGAGCUUUUGAGUUUGAUCAGGCUGUAACUACUAAGGGACUGCAGUGCUCACAAAAAUAGCUCACCUGACUGUAUGGAAGAGCUGAUGGACUGUGGUUACCACUGUUUUGCUGGAGAAUUUGCACUGAAAUGGGGGACUAGGAAUAGGAUGGUCCACAACCAUCUUUAUGUGGCAACCUAGGUUAGAAGUCUGCUAGAGGUAACGAAAUGGAGAUCAAUGGAGUGGGUAUGGAUUUACUGAUGCUUUUUCCUUUUCCAGAACAGACAGGCUCCAGCAGUUUAGAAAGUUUGAGCUGCACAGACAGGGAUCUUCGACUCUCCUCUGCAGAGAAAUAAUGUGGUUCUACCCACUGAUACCAUGAAGAACAUUUCUGUACAGAGCCAGUGGUUGCUUUUACAGAAGACAAAAUGUCUGAGAAAUAAGUGCCACCACUUUUGUCUCACCAUGGCAGGAUUAGUCCGUUUCAGGAGGGCUCUUGUCUCAUCUUCGCAGGAAUAUUGUUUGGGCUCAUACUUGCAUUUCCAAAAUUCAGUUUAUACUUUACUGGCAGAGCACCCUGAAUUUAUUCUGAAAUGGUUGUUAAGACUACGACUGCUUCCAUACUGGAACACUGAAAACUAUUUAUGCUACUGCGUGCUCAUAAAAUAUGUAUUUAAACAGUCUUCUCAGAACUAAAUGUUGACUGCAGCUGCUCAGUUGAGAUCCUUAUUAUUUGCAUUAUUAUCAUGAGAUAUAGGUACGCUAUACAUCUUGUAUAAUUUUCAAACCUCUCUUUGUAUGUCAAACUCACUGUGUAAGAGAGGUGGAUACUGUCAAUGCUCACGUUAUAUCCUACGUCUCUGGUGCACUGAGCUCAGUUUUACUUUUUUUUAGUUAGGUGUCCAAAAACAUUCCUCCUAAAUCACACUUUCAUCAAAGAAAUGGCUUUGUUUGACUGCAAUGCAAGCAACUUGACCAUUAAGAGUUAAAACCUUUAUUUACAUGGGAAUGUUGUCCACCUUUUUCUGUCAGUGGAAAUAUAAUUUGAAGAUUUGGUUAUUUGAUCUUCUGUAACCCACUGACAUGGAUUAACAAACUUCUUGGGUGCUUGAACAGUUGGUGUAUGUGCCUGCUCUGCCAUGAAGUGCAAUGGCUUUUUUUCUUGACGAAAAAAAUAGGAAUUCCAUACAUAUGUUGAUAAAGUUUGUGAACUCUGAUGAUAAUUCUUAACACCACCAACUCAGCUUCAUCAUCUGAAAUAAAUUUUCUUUGGAAUUAAAACAAUGUAAAUACCCUUUUUCUUGGAUGUGAAAUUGAACUGUGGCUGCACAUACAUGGACUCCAUAUAAUCAGAUGUACUAGCAGCUUUGAUCAAGGUUAAUAUCUGCCAAACUAGUAACGAUUCCUUUGCUAUUUUUAAACCUAUGUCAUACCUUGCUUUCCAAAUGCAUUUUUUUUCUUGACCUAGAGGAUCAGAAGCUGAAAUGAGAUGCAGGCAGCAACUACAGAAUACCUCUGACAGCCUUUCAGUGUUUGCCUGAUUCAGGAAACAAACUUAAGCUAGGAAAAUAUUCCCUUUCUCUUUGAACCUCACUGCCUUUUUAAUUUAGGGGUUGAAGCAAAGAUGUCGGAAAGCCUUAAAGAAACUUAUUUUCCUGUUUGGGUUCUUGACCACAAAGGGCUACUUUUCAAUUCGGUUUCAGAUUUGAUUUCAAUGAGGACAAGUGUUCUUCUAUAUGUCUUCAGAACUCCCCUUGACACGUUAAUUUAUUAUUCAAUACCCUUAGUCAUGCACUGCUUGCUUUCUUUGACAUUUAAUAAAGAACCUAAAGACCACAGUAACAUUCAAAUCUUCAUAUUUUAACAAAAAAUGAAGCCUAUUAUUUAGAAGUCCAGAAUAAGAUAUUGGAUCCUGUGAAACAAAAGAUUUACCCCAUAGAAUGAGGCAAAAUUCCUAUUUUGAGCCCUACAGUGCUUCUAAUGCAUUUGAAAGGUAUAACAUGUCUGAUGAGGAAAAUAUUUUAUUUGCCAAAGGACUGAAUCUUGCUUUUGGAGCAAACUUAUCUUUCAGGAAGAAGGAGAAGACUUUAUUGUGGCUGGUUGGACUAAAAGAAAUACAAAGGUACCAGAAGGCUGAAGCUCUAGAUCAAGUCCUGUGGAAAUGGAUGACAAGCAAAAGGUUUUAAGAGGUCACAGUUUUAUACAAUUCAAACAACAACAAAAAAAAAUGAAUAGAGCUAAACAGGCACACACACAUGAAAAAACAGCUCAGCCCUCUUGAUCUUAGGAUGCAGCAACAAAAUCACAAAGGAAGACAAUUGUUCCUCUGAUUGACUAACUCCUGCAGUGCAAAAGUGGUAGCUCUGUGAGCUCACUGAAAGAUGGUGGUUAAAAGAGUAAGAGUCAAGAAAAAUUGAAACUAUGAAAGAAGAGGGAAAGAAGAAUAAACCUCAUGAAAAGAAAGGGAUAUAAAGAAGAAAGGAAGAAGGAGAAUGAAAAGGAGAGAGAAAAUGAAGGUUUAAUACAUGGGAUCAUUGCACAAACCCAUUGCAAUUGUACCAGGAGCAAAAAUUGUGGGGAAAAAAAGCUUUGGGAGAGCUUAAAGAUGAUGUUAAUCCUCUCCCUGGUUCCAGCAGUGUAUUGUCACUACCUGAAAAUCACACAAGCAUCAGCAGUUGUAAAAUGUGUGUCUUGAGAUUUUGAAUUAUAUCCAUUAAAUAAGCACAGAACUAACCUAUAUGUAUUUACAAUGCUUAGUCACCUCAGUAGCUGAGCUUCUUAUAGCUCUCCUUGGGCAUUGUUUUGUAAACAUGAAUGUGGAAGAGACUAGGCUAGACCAGGCUAGAAGCAAAGAGCUGGCUAAAGGUUCCUUGUCUGUCAUGGGAACCAAAAUCACUGUUUUGCCUGCCUUGCAGUAACUGAGGUAGAUAAAGGAAAUCCUCUGAGGAUUACAACCAUUUGGAGUAGAGGAUUUAUUUUUUUUAGUAUUAUUUCCUGCAAAACCAAGAAAUUGAACCCUCAAGUAGGGUCACAUCAUGGAUUCCUCCCCAGAGCGGCAGAAUAGCCCAUCAGUUUUCAGAAGUGCUCCUGGCCCUGAUUUGAAAUAAGGGAGAGAGAUAUUCUAGGUCAGCCUUGACCCAGGAAUUUCAGCAUGAGGAAAUAAACUGAAUCACUUAAUUUGUGGGCCAAUCACCUAUCUGCAAGUUCAGCCUCAUGAGUGGCUCUUAUUCCACUCGUGCACCUUCUCAUCUAGACUGACAUGGAGAAGAAUAUCUGAGCAGAACUGUGCAGCCUGCAGGGACUCAGUUGUUAUUCCAAGCCAGUAAGACCAUAACUUGGCUCUCAAUACUCCUAUCAUAUCAGGCUGCCUCUUCUACAGAGAGGCCUUUGCGGUACCUUCUUUUCAUUUUGCGACAUUGAGUGGACACGAAGGUUGUAACCCUGUGACACUUGUUCAAGGUGCCUCUGGAGGUCAAGAUACCCAGGCUACGUACCCAAGACCUAAAUCAAAGUGACCUGAUCUUCAAAAGCACUGAACUCUGAAUAGCUUUAAGAAGAGGUCAGCUUCUCUGAAAACUAGUUUUCUUUGAUUUAAGGACUUAAUUAUGGAACCAGCCCAAUAGUAAGCAUCUAUGUGAAAACACUCAAAACUAGCUAGGGGAUUUAGCUACUGAGAUCACAUUAAUUUCAGGACCUUUGAAAAUAUCUGCCCCAGGUUUGAAAAAGUAGAUUUAGAACUUGAUUUUUUUUCCCUUUUCCCAUUUCACUGCUAAUUAUUCUUAUCUCAACCUCUUCUUAAAACCCAUACAGCAUUUUGGAAGCCUGCAUUAAUUCAUACAGUGCCUCUACACGCAGUUCUUCACUUUGUUGUAGUUUUCACUGUGAUGUAUGAUUAUUAGUUUUAUUGCUUUAUUCUCUGCUUUUCCUACCUGCCAUCAUUAUCCAUAUAGUAAAUUCUGUUGCGCUCCAUCCCGACUGCUUUGCUAUUUGUUUUGAUAAAGACAGCAGUUUUUGGACCUAUGCUAACAAGAACAGUGGCUUGUUACUUCACCAAAGAAACGCUUCUUCUAUUGUUCCCACCACCCGUUCAUUUUUUUAGUGUCAAUAAUCAUGUUCCCCUUCAGUAUAAAGACCCUCAAAAUUUUCUGAGUCUGAUUAUCAUUAUCUGCAAAGGUUUGUUCUUUGGCCUCACUAGGCACUCGAAUUUUCAUACAUGUUGCAACCUAUAUGUGUGGAAGAAUAGGAAAAAGGAGCAGAGACAUGAAAUGGAGAAAGUACACCACAGGUUAGCAAAUAAUUGUCUUACCCGUGGAUCUUUGUUUAUCGUGGCUCUGCUCUUGGAUUCUUCAUUAUCCUCUAGUUUUUACUUAGACUAGCACAGCAAUCAAUAGUCACAUUUGACAUGACGUGUUCAAGCUGGCUUAUUCCCCUGUCAUGGCAUUUAAUAAACGUGAUUAUAACCAGACUGUGCUGAAACUCCUACAGAAUAAGCUGCAGAGAGUCUGCAAAAAUUUAUUGAAGAAUGACAUGUAAAACAAACCAGACCAAUAAA